UUGUGGAUUGUUUUAGUGAGCGUUUCUUAACUUUUUUUUUUUUGUAACUAGCAAUACUGUACUGUAUGUCAUGCAUCAAAUAAAGGUGUAAACUUAUGCACAAAUCCAAAAUGGAGGUCCUUAUCAGAGCAAAAUUGGAGGAACAAAACAAAAUGUCAGUACUAUAGAAGAGGUUCCCAAACUUACUCUGCUGAAGUUUGGUCACUGACCUUGAUAUCUAAAGGACUGUUGGUGCCAGUGGUGUUAAUUUCUCUUUAUAGGUAUUUUUAUUUUUUUUAUAUUACCUCUAUAGGUAUCUCUCAGUGGGACCUCUAUCCCACAUUCAUCAGCCUGUGAACCACCUGAAACCAGAACCCAGCCCUGUGCUUAGGGGCUCAUCAGCCCCUACUUCACUCCAUCCUUUUGUCAUCCAUCAAAAUCUACCCCUGUACAGCAGGUCCCCUUGGAAAGCUGCUCUCAUAACAGGACCUGAUUAGAAGCCAUUUGAAGUGAAAUGCAAGCGUGGUACUGGUUCUGAGUACAGCUGGAAGUGUUAUAAUGUUCCAUGCUUAGGAAUAACGUGUGGCCAGUGACUGGUCCCACAAACCCUUCUGCAGAUAAGUAAUCCUAUCAAAGGCAGUUGAGUGCAUUUGAUUAAGGAUUACAUGAGAUUAGUGGGCUGCAAGGUUGAGAGUACAACUGGUAUCAUUAAUGAGUAUUCACAUAUUAAUGCUGCUUUGAGCAGAGAUUGAACUAGAUGACCUCUGAGGCCUGUUCCUAGUAGAAUGAUUUUUUGAUUAUCACACUUGUAUUAUGCAAAUAGAAAACUUCCUUUAUAAAAAAAUUCAUUAGUUGGAUAAGCUAAACUCUAGUAAGUCACUGCCGUUAUUUUACCUAAUUGCAUCCUGUGGUAACAUGGAGUUGCAAAUUUGACCCAGGUUUAAGAUUUAAAACAGUAAGAGGAAUACACCCAUGCCUUUUUUGUGUAUUGCCUCAAAUUCUUUGUAUACAGUUUUAUGUCAGAUUGUAUUCCUUGUGUAGGAAUUCUUUCCUAGCAUACAGUUGGCUUUUUCUAGAAUUAGUCCAGAGCAGAGUGCCUGAAAAUUGGAUGCUUUAUGUGCAAUUGAGGUGUGUGAAUGGAUUUAAACUUACUCUGCCUAAUUCUUGUACCACUAGUACUGAGACUAUGGUAAUGAAGGCAUCAGUGCAGGUUAGCAGCCUAAGAAGGGCUUGAGGCCCUUAAAACUUUCCAAAGCAAGGGCUCAGAAUGUGAGAGGGCAUUCUUAUAUUUAAAAAAAAAAUCCCAAACCCACUGCCACCCCAACAAACUCCCCACUGUUAGAAUAUACUAUGUAGAAUCUGAAUAUAUGUAGAUGUUGAGACACAGCUGGUUGAGUUUAAUAAAGAAUAAUCCUUCUUAUGUGCAGGGACUCAUAUGGAUUUUCUUCCUGUGCCUGGAUAAACUUUGUACCCAUUGAUACUUCUAUAACUGUUCUCAUUUAGUAUUGUUAAUUACUUACUUUUAAGCAAGAAGUUUGUGAUAAGGGAGGAAAUCUCUUAACUGCUACCUGUAAAAGGCCAAUCACUUUCACUUGCAUGCAAUUAGAAAUGUUUUUAUGUAACAUUUUAAGCCUCCCAAUAGUUGCAUUAAUCUCAGUAACAGGCUAUAGUUGUUGUCCUGUCUUAUUGGUAACAGUGUAUUUCAGGAAAACACUUGGUUGUAUGCUUUUAUUUAAAAAUACAGGGAGUAUGGUCACAUUGCAAGUAAUGUGUUAAGGACCUGACAGGUCUCUUGGGCUUUUAGAGAGUAUAGAAAGCCAUUAAAAGGAAUAAGAGGUGCUAGGAAGGAGUGGAGUUAUUUCUUUAUGCUGCUCUUCACCACAAGGAUGUUGUGAGCAUUUUAUUCUUUUCAAAUAAUAUUGAUUGGAUGUUAUCUGAUUAUGGGAUUAGAGUGGCAAAAGACUGAAUGCUAGAAUGAAGUGCUAAAGACUCCUAAGUCACCAGGACUCGGUGCUAUUCAUUCCUUUAGUGGUUCUAAAGGAUGAAGUGGCUGAUCUGCUAAGAAGAAUGCAUCUCGUUAGGAUGAGAUGCUGUGCCAGGAGACCGGAAGCUGUCAAGUGCUGUACAUACUGUACUUCUAAAGUGAACACAAAGAGCAGAGCUGGAAUUUGCAGACCAAGGACUCUUCUUUUAAUGCCACUUAAGUAGCUUUGAAUUCUGCAUGGAUAGUCUAGUAGUUCAGUGAGCACAAGAUACAACAGCUUCUAUGCAGUUGUAUCUUAGAUGUAAUGAAAAAUACCAGCUGCAGCUGGGGUACUUGUCAUGUGUCUCUUGUUUGUGUGUUUGUUCCCUAAUAACAAGAGCAGAGGCUGCAGUCUGUACUUCACUUUAGUCUGUCGGUCUUCUAUAUCUAUCUGCCCAGUACUUGGAUUUCUGAAAUCUCUGAAUUCUUAUUAAACUGUAAAUGACUUUUCAAUUUUCCGUUUUGAUAAAGUUUGAAAUCAGGUAGUGGAUUUGAAAGUUAGAAAAGUCCACACCUAACCUAAGCAGACAUGUUUAACUGCAUUAAUCUCUUCUGUGUUUAGCAGUCUAAACCAUGACUAAGUUGCUUCUGUUAUUAAUAGACAAGAGAGGGAUGAACCUGUAUACUGAUACACUCACGCACCCUGUUUAGUUCAUCCCACCUUAAACUUGCAGUGUGUGGCCUUUGGCAGGAAAUUGUACCCCACGCAAUUUUGGUGAGGCUCUACAAGUCUUCAUUUUUGAUGUAAUUGUGGGGAUGAUGACCAGUGAUGCAGAGGUGGAACUGAAAGCAGUUCAGUAGUAUGUUAUGCUGCUUUCAGUGGCAAAGCUGUGAUGUACCUUGUAGUUUACACUCCGGUGACAACAGCAGUUUCUUAAGUACUGACAUUUGUAGCUGCAAUUAGCUGUGUGGUCUUGUUCCCUCACUUUCCCUCCUGUUGUAUAGCACAGUAAUUUGUGCCAUCAUGCAGUGACUUGAAUCAGAAAAUUGAUCCUGACUUUGAGAGAGGUCUAUGGCAAGCAGCAGUUUCUAACCCAAGCUAGUUUCCCACUCUGGUCUAGUGGGUGGCUCCACCAGGAGAUGGGAUCAUGGCCUAAGGAUGAGAACAAGCUGCAGGAGGGUCCUCUCUCUUUGAACUGGCAUUUUACUGAAUAGAUGCUCAUCAGAUUAUGCCUCUAGAAUCUGUGACUCAUCUUGCCCUCAAUUCAAUUACUUCAGAGGAUCUGUAAAUUUUCAAUAAUGGCAAUACAUUCAUGCUGCCAUUUGGAGGAGCCUGUGCCACAGAAUAAUGAUCUGAAGAAAGCUCACUCAUUUGCAAGGAAGAGUCUUCAUUUGGGAAUUAGCACUGAUGCAGCUCAAGGGUGCUUCUUCAAGUCCAGACUCCUCAGCAGAACUGUAAUUUUCCUAACACAGCCUCUGGUACAAGGAUGAAAUUGGGUUUUUGUCAAAGAACAGUGUCCUGUAUCUGAACAGUAAGAAGGUCCUUGACAUUCAGUGGGAUGAGAAUCUCAGAACUGACUACUGGGGACUCCCAAGCUACAGAUCAGUUCUAUAGGCAAUGCAGAAUGUGAGAGAAACAGCUGCAUCUGAAAUAGAUCAUCUGCUUUAAAAAAAACCAUUUUGGUAGGUGUGGGCUUCUUGUCAGAAAUCCGUUCUGAAGCUUGAGUGCAAAGGAAGCAGGGUACUAACGAUGAAUAAGAAUGGUUAUCUUGAGGAUAACGAUGGAUACAGCAUCUUCAAAAGCAUUGGCAUUCUGGUCCUGGUCCUGCAACUGGAUUUGUUCAAAUGGACCUUGAUAGCCUGGGGGCCUGAUGAAGUUCAUGGGACUCUGGUGACUGCAGGUUCUCACUCUGAAGAUCUAAUUGUAGGCCUGAACCUAAAUUUCUAUUUUGUUCUCCUGUCUGUUUGCUUCUCAAAUGAUGAAAAUUAUUCUUUAAAAUGGUGUUGUCGUUGAGCCUCAUGCACAUCCACUUUAGUAAUGUUCCGACACUGUGUGCCUGGGAUGUUGUCAGACAUUGUUAAAUUAUUUCUGUUCUGUUGUGUGCCUAAACCUCAUGAUUGCUCUGAUUAUUGUGUUAGAUUUUGCCAUUUAGUGCCUUCCUACCUAAAAUGGAGGUGAUAAUCACCUGUGUUUGCAAUCGUUGUGGUAUUUCUCUUAACUCAGAUUUUUAAGUCAGAGUAACUGGUGAAACUGUUCAGGUUAUUUUUAAAGAUGUAGGUAGAUUUGUUUAUUUCUUGCUGGACACAAAGUAUAAUAAUUUAAUUUGCAAACUUAGUAACCUAGUAUUACUGAAAGCUUUCAAUAUGAUGAUACUCUGAUGUAAUAAAAUGAGUAGGAAAUGAU